rnacentral:rRNA from 1 species
AACGAACGCUGGCGGCAGGCCUAACACAUGCAAGUCGAACGCUCCGCAAGGGGGAGUGGCGCACGGGUGAGUAACACGUGGGAACCUACCUUCUGGUACGGAACAACCAAGGGAAACUUUGGCUAAAACCGUAUACGACCUCCGGGUGAAAGAUUGAUCGCCGGAAGAGGGGCCCGCGUCCGAUUAGGUAGUUGGUGAGGUAACGGCUCACCAAGCCUACGAUCGGUAGCUGGUCUGAGAGGAUGGCCAGCCACACUGGGACUGAGACACGGCCCAGACUCCUACGGGAGGCAGCAGUGGGGAAUAUUGCGCAAUGGACGAAAGUCUGACGCAGCGACGCCGCGUGUGGGAUGACGGUCUUCGGAUUGUAAACCACUGUCGGGAGGGACGAAUACGCCGCAAGGCGGGUGACGGUACCUCCAAAGGAAGCACCGGCUAACUCCGUGCCAGCAGCCGCGGU